rnacentral:rRNA from 1 species
UUGUACACACCGCCCGUCGCUACUACCGAUUGGAUGGCUCAGUGAGGCUUUCGGACUGGCCCAGAGAGACGGGCAACUGUUUCUCAGGGCCGGAAAGUUAUCCAAACUCGGUCAUCUAGAGG